GUUCCUUUAGUAUAUUUGUAUAGUCGUCUUCCACACGACAGGUCGAGAUAUGAGAACUCGAAGGUGCA
rnacentral:tRNA from 1 species